GACGAACGCUGGCGGCGUGCUUAACACAUGCAAGUCGAACGAAGUGGCGAACGGGUGAGUAAAGCGUAAUCAACCUGCCCUUCAGAGGGGGACAACAGUUGGAAACGACUGCUAAUACCGCAUACUGAAGGAGGGGAUUGCGUCUGAUUAGCUAGGUGGGGGGGUAACGGCCCACCAAGGCGAUGAUCAGUAGCCGGUCUGGGAGGCUGUACGGCCACAUUUGGACUGAUACUAGGCCCAGACUCCUACGGGAGGCAGCAGUGGGGACUCUUCAGCAAUGGACGAAAGUCUGACGGAGCAACGCCGCGUGAGUGAUGACGGCCUUCGGGUUGUAAAGCUCUGUUAAUCGGGACGCGGUACCGGAAUAGAAAGCCACGGCUAACUACGUGCCAGCAGCCGUGGUAAUUC
rnacentral:rRNA from 1 species